CCAUGUUUCAUAUACAUCAUUUAAAGAAUCUACACUCUAUGCUCGUCUCUCUGUGCGUAGUCUUUUGACAUUCAACUUUUUAUUGUUUCAUGAUCCUAUGUGCAAAGCCUAAUUGAUCUAUCUGUCUCUAGACCCGAGUCGCGUAUAAUUAUUUCAAGGAUGCUCAGAAUAUCGCUAAGGAGAUCAAAUUAGUUUUCCAAUGACCCAAAAAGAAUAGCUGAGCUUCGCAGAUUGGAGAUGGUCACGGAGCACAAUAGAGUUGCGCUAAUCAUCAUUUGCCAGAUAGGAGCCUUGACCCAUCACUGAAGGUUUCGAGUUCAUCCGCCAUCCUUGCUUUGCUACUGCUGUAAAGAGAUCUUGAAGGUUUAUUUCAAAGAUUACCAUCAAUUUUGGAUCACAGAGGUUGGCGUGACAGGUAUCUCUUGCUUCAAAAUUGAACAAACAGACAAGUCAAGAAGAAGAUUCAACCAUCAGUUAUUCCACUGUAUGUUUUUAGGCUGUAAUCGUCCAACUCGGUGAUAUCAGCAAUGAUUUUCAUCUCUCUAUGGGAUUCCGAUGAUAACAUAUUUAUAAUAAAGAAAUUAAGUAUUCAUAAGAGAAAGCCAAGCCGUGACUAACAAGCCUCAAGAUUAUCCAAAUAACUUCAAAAUGCAAGUGAGUAUCUUUGAUAAAAGGGGCCGAAUCUCAAGAGUGAUAUACUGCUCUGCUGUAGUAAAGCACAGGACACAUAAAUUUAGAUAAAAAGUCUGUGUAUAU